rnacentral:rRNA from 1 species
GAACGAGAAAGUGGAAGCAAUUCCAUGAGUAAAGUGGCGACCGGUGCUGAGUAACACGUGACUAACCUACCCUCGAGUGUGGAAUAACAUCGGGAAACCGAUGCUCAUACCGUAUAACAUCGCAUGAUCAAAGGAGUAAUCCGACUUGAGGAGGGGGUCGCAGGCUGAUUAGCUAGUUGGCGAGGUAACGGCCCACCAAGGCGAAGAUCGGUAGCCGGCCUGAGAGGGCGCACGGCCACACUGGAACUGAAACACUGGUCCAGACUCCUACGGGAGGCAGCAGUGGGGAAUUUUGCGCAAUGGGGGAAACCCUGACAGCAGCAACGCCGCGUGGAGGAUGAAGCCUCCUUGAGGCGUAAACUCCUUUCGACCAAAAGGCUUAUGACGGUACUGGUGGACAGAAGCGACCGGCCUAACUCAUGUGCCAGCAUCCGUCA